rnacentral:tRNA from 1 species
GGGGUAAUAGCUCAGUGGUAAAGCACAUGCUUAGCGCACACGAGGUCCUGGGUUCAAUCCCCAGUACCUCCA